rnacentral:rRNA from 1 species
UACGGGGGGGGUAAGCGUUGUUCGGAAUUACUGGGCGUAAAGGGCUCGUAGGCGGCCAACUAAGUCAGACGUGAAAUCCCUCAGCUUAACUGGGGAACUGCGUCUGAUACUGGAUGGCUUGGAUUCGGGAGAGGAAUGCGGAAUUCCAGGUGUAGCAGUGAAAUGCGUAGAUAUCAAGCGGAACACCAGUGGCGAAGGCGAGUCCCUGGACAACUCCUGACACUGAGGCACGAAAGCUAGGGGAGCAAACAGG